GGGGACGACCGGAAUUGACAGCUUGCUGAGGUCGCGUGUAAGCAUGCCGGGAGUUGACGGAAUUUCCCGACCCGAACAAAUCGUCAAAACAAUAACUGGCGAGUAUAACUACGCCAUGGCUGCCUAAUCCGGAGGAUUAAGCACUAGCCAUCGUCUCCCCGGCCUACGUGCUGCUGGCUGGAUCAGGGGGCGUCGACUCGCAGCGCUGGCCCGGAUAAUGGUGUUAACAACGGGCGAGACAAAAGCACCUACGGAUGAGGCUCGGUCUGACGCGCACCUGGCCGAUUCCCGACAAUCCCAAGCGCAUCUAAGCAUGUAGAAAGCACGACGGGUUCCUUGACUGGACGAGAGUUCGAAUCUCUCCGUCUCCACCC
rfam:Fibrisoma limi BTZ 3, type strain:BTZ 3, WGS project CAIT01000000 data, contig: 6